rnacentral:rRNA from 1 species
AUUGAACGCUGGCGGCAGGCUUAACACAUGCAAGUCGAGCGGGGGAAGGUAGCUUGCUACUGGACCUAGCGGCGGACGGGUGAGUAAUGCUUAGGAAUCUGCCUAUUAGUGGGGGACAACAUCUCGAAAGGGAUGCUAAUACCGCAUACGUCCUACGGGAGAAAGCAGGGGAUCUUCGGACCUUGCGCUAAUAGAUGAGCCUAAGUCGGAUUAGCUAGUUGGUGGGGUAAAGGCCUACCAAGGCGACGAUCUGUAGCGGGUCUGAGAGGAUGAUCCGCCAAACUGGGACUGAGACACGGCCCAGACUCCUACGGGAGGCAGCAGUGGGGAAUAUUGGACAAUGGGGGGAACCCUGAUCCAGCCAUGCCGCGUGUGUGAAGAAGGCCUUAUGGUUGUAAAGCACUUUAAGCGAGGAGGAGGCUACUUUAGUCAAUACCUAGAGAUAGUGGACGUUACUCGCAGAAUAAGCACCGGCUAACUCUGUGCCAGCAGCCGCCGUAA